CACCUCUCCCUUUCUUCUUUCUACUGCUCCGCCAUUGUGAGGGCGUGCUUGCGUCUCCUUCGCCUUCUGCCAUAAUUUUUCAGAUUUGCAAAGGGAGACGUGACAUCAAGUUUGGAAGAAAGCUGAAUUACUGGGACUAACAGAGUGAAAAGAAUAUGGACUUUCAAGGAAUGGGGAAUAGGAAGGCCAGAAAAAUUUCCUUACUCCUUCUUCAAAGAUGAUGAAAUACAAAAUGACCCCAAAUGAAGCGGAUAGAACAAUCAGUGUUACAAGGUGUUAAAGUGUUCUUUCUUUUAAGAAACAAUGGUGACUAUGAUGACAGAAAACAUAAAAAGGUGAAGCUGCCUGUUAGUGCUCUUAUUUUGUGAAAUUUUAUUUUACUAGUUUCUGAAAUACCCAAGUGAAAGAACCUGUAUUAGAAACAAUACAAGGAUUACUAAUUUUGUAAAUAAUUAGAAUGAGAUUUGUAAAAAUAGGGAUGCUGUAUGCUAAAUAUAAUUUUUAUGAUUCAGAAGUUUACCAGGAUCUGAUAAAUGAAAUUAAGAAGCCAUCUCAUCAAAUGCAACCAAGUGAUGCUUUAAUUAAUGUCUAUAUUGAUAUAGAGAAAAUUAAAAACACUUGGCUUUCCUUCCCCCCCAAAAGAACAAAGAUCAAAUUGAAGUACAGAUGAUUUCUCUUCCAUUACAAGAGGCACAGGAGAAAAAGAAGACUCUGUAUCUCUUUUUGUUUUUACUGAUUUUCCGUAUGGGCACUGGCUUUCAGCUAAGAUGAUGCUUAUACAUACCUAACUUUUCUUUCUUUCCUUUUUAAGUUACAUUCCUGUAAGAGUGUGCUUUGAAGUAGUUUCUGAAAGUCCUAAUUUAGAAUUUUUGAUUUAAUUUAAAAACUGCUUUAUGACUGAAACAAAUGUACUUUACUUUUUAAAAAUAUCUCUAUUUUUAUCUUUAAAAAAAUAUAUAAUCAAAUAGAAUGUAUUAUACACC
rnacentral:lncRNA from 1 species